UUUUUUGCAAAUACCCCUCCUUAACAUGAUACAGUAUACAAAUGUAUCUGUUAAAUAUGUCAGAAUGAGCAAUUGAAAUUAUACAUACAUUGUCUUUACUGUAUUUUUGUUUGUUAUACAUGUAUAUUUACUUCUUUUCCUAUUCCUAGUUAAGCCAAUAUGAUAUACAACAUAUGUUUUGAGAAAAGGUAUGAAGGUUAAAAUUGAGAAUGCAAAUUGUGAGUGUGUCAAUGAGACAACAACCCGACCAUAGACGCAUGAUAGAAUAGACAGGUCACCAGUAGGUCUUCAAUGCAGUGAUAAAUUUCUGCACCCAGAGGUGUCCUUCAACUGGCCCCUAAACAAAUACAAAUGUAUAUACAAUACUAGUUCAGUGAUAAUGAAAGCCAUACUAAACUCCAUAUUCAAUAUUUUUUUUUUUUGUUUAGCUUAAUUUAAUAUUUAUUAUCAAUCUGUUUUUAAGGUACCUUCUACCAGUCAUCCAGCGUCAUUCAAAGUUACUAAAGCUGAAAUUGAAACCUUGAAGAAAGUGAUACAUUGUAUACAUGAUUUUCUAGAGGAACUACAAAUUAGAUACAUAACAGACAUAGAGCUAUCACAGACACAGUCCAUAUAAUGUAUUGGAAGCAGCAUUUUAUAAGAUAUCAAUAAGACAGUGGAAAUACUACAUUGUACUCUUUUGGAUGAAUUAUAGCCUAAGAAGAUCUGAUCUUACAUUAAGGACUGGGCCAUACAUUUUUUGCCCUAACCCUACAAGUGGGUUGUUUAGAAAGGACUGAAUUGGCUUGUGUGUCUGCAUCUCUAAAGAAAAAGACUUGAUUGACUAUCUGUAAAAACAAAAAAAUUAUAGAAUAAUAAAGAAAAAAUUGCUAACUGAUUUUUCUAUUUCCUUUGAAAAUAGAGCUCUAUAUAUGUGAGACUUAAAUAUUUACUGAUAACUAUCUGGCUGCAGCAGUGUAAACUAUUUGUAAAAACAUGAUAAAGCUUUA